rnacentral:lncRNA from 1 species
CCCAUUGGGGGCUUUUCAAACAUAUUUUCUCUGCUAGAUCCCAAACCAUCAAACGACUUCACCAGUCGGAUGAUAAGACACACCUUCUCCAGCUCUGCGGAGGCUUAGGUUUUUAGAAGAAGAGUAGAAGUAGUUAUCCUGCUCUUCAGCUGAGUGAGUCAGUUAGGAACUGGCAGUCGACAUGGUUCUACUGCCAGGACGUUGCCUAUCCGAAUGCCACGACAGGGUUGCCUCCUUUUAGCUUAGAUCGACCCGCUCCCCCCAAGCAGCUUGCGCUCACGAAGGCGGAGAAGAUCGACAUCCAGCCUCUGGUCGACGCACUCGUAGAUGUCGUCAGAAGGGGAGUCA